AAUCAACGCUGGCGGCGUGCCUAACACAUGCAAGUCGAACGCGAAAGCCCGCAAGGGUAAGUAGAGUGGCGCACGGGUGAGUAACACGUGGACAACCUGCCUUCGAGUGGGGAAUAACCUUCCGAAAGGAGGGCUAAUACCGCAUAACACCUCGGGACACAAGUCUUGGGGUUGAAAAGAGCAAUUUGCUCGAAGAGGGGUCCGCGCCUGAUUAGCUAGUUGGUGAGGUAACGGCUCACCAAGGCUUCGAUCAGUAGCCGUCCUGAGAGGGAGCACGGCCACACUGGAACUGAGACACGGUCCAGACUCCUACGGGAGGCAGCAGUGGGGAAUUUUUGGCAAUGGGCGAAAGCCUGACCAAGCAACGCCGCGUGGGUGAUGAAGUAUCUUGGUACGUAAAACCCUUUCGGCAGGGACGAACCUAAUGACGGUACCUGCGGAAGAAGCCCCGGCUAACUCCGUGCCAGCCGCCGC
rnacentral:rRNA from 1 species